AGUCUGGUGGAAGAGUGGCCCUGUUGGUCUAGGUCAGGGAUCGACUCUCCCCAAACGCAGAAUUGCUUAGCAACAUCCCUUUGGCCACAUGGGUAUAGGCCUACUGCUUAAGGCCCAUUUGAAAACCCGGUGAGAAUCCUACCCAUGGGAUACCCUCUCCCGAGGGAUUAAUCUUGAACUCCUCCAUAAAUUCGGAGAUUUACCCUAAAUUAUCAAAAAAAACAAAAAAAACUAUAUAUCCUCUCGUAUGACUAAACUUCCUCGCAUCUUUUAAAUUUGAUGCAGUCGACUCGUAGUUUGCUCUUGGACAAACUCGACAUAUAAUCC
rnacentral:sRNA from 1 species